rfam:Schistosoma mattheei strain Denwood, Zambia genome assembly, scaffold: SMTD_scaffold0007552
AUCCAGCUGAUGAGUCACAAAUAGGACGAAACGCGCGUCCUGGAU